UGUAUAGCUUAUAAAGCUUAAAUAAAUACGGAUUAGGGCCGGGCGGUCAGGCACUUCGUUUGGGACGGAGAUCAGUUAUGUUCGAUUCAUAAUAAUCCGAAUAUUAGAACAUUUAGAAAUAAUAAAAAAUAAGAUAUAUAAAUUAUAUUUAUUUACUUGCUAAUAGGCUUUGCCUACAACAAGUAAUGUAAGUAUGUAAAGGAAUUAUUACGCAAUUCUAGCUAUGUAUUAAGGAGAGCAAAUUUGAUAUAAAAAGGAAUAUAUAAUAUUUCUAUUUAAUAAGCUCUAGAAAAAAUUUAAUAAUAAACGAAGUGAAGUGAAAUAUCUCAGUAACUUCAGGAAAAGAAAUCAAAAGAGAUUCUAUGAAUAGCGUGAGCGAAAGUAGAUAAGUCUAUUAAGUAAAAUGGUUUAUAAACUGUUUGAAUGGGGAACCUUCCUCAAAGACUAAAUAUGAUACAUAAGCGAUAGAUAAUGGGCCGUGAGGUAAAUGGAAGUUAGUAGUAAUUUUAUAAGCAGUUCGAAUAGACUUAGUUUAAGCUAAAGAACGUACCUUUUGCAUAAUGGGUCACCAAGUUAACAUUAGAUGCGAGAAAAUUUCGUAGUUAAACCAAACGUUAAAAUAACGAUAAGUGUCUAAAGUUAGACCCGAAGCCUAGUGAUUUUACUAUGAUCAGGAUUAUAAAAGUCCGAACGGGUGAUUGUGGCAAAAAUCUCCGAAGAAUCGUGGUAGGUAUAGUGAAAGACAAUACUGACUAGGAUAGCUGGUUUUCUGCGAAACCUAUAACAGUAGGCAAUUUAAGUAAAUAUCUUAGCAGGUACAGAAUUUAAUCUCAGGCAAUAUUUUAUUGCGCAAAUUGGGGAAUCGUGAAGAUUUUAUCAGUGAGUAUGUAGACUCGGAAUGGCAAAGAUAUAUCUUGAAUGAUCAGACAUAGAAUGAUAAGGUUGUAUGUCAAAAGGGAAACAGCCCAGAACAAGAGUUAAGGUUCCUAAAUUAUUUGUUAAGUGAAAUUAAGAAGGUUUUUAUUAAAGUCGACAAGGAGAUAGGCUUAGAAGCAGCCAUAAUUUUAUGACCUCGUAACAGAGCGCUUGUUAAGUUAUAAAAGCAUCGAAAAUAUAACGGAUCUAAACAAUAUACCGAAACCUUGUCCAUUAAUUAUUAAGGAUAUUUAAUAUUGGUGGGGUAGCAGAACGUUGAAUUAAGCUAAAUAGCAAGUUUGUAAAUUUGUUAUGUUAAUUCAAGUGAGAAUGGUGACAUGAGUAACGAAAAGAAUAGUAGAUUUAGGUACAUACAUUAAAUAAUAGAUCUUAUUUAGUGCUUACUAGAUCUGCUAUCCGCCUAAAGCUUAUGGUUAGAAUUAAGUAACGGCCUCUAAGCUUUUUAUCUAAAGAUUGAAGCGAUGAGAAAAUCUUUUAUUAUGAAAUAGACGACAUUUAUCUAGUGAAAAAUGUACAGGAAAAAUCGUAAUAUAGUAACCGUACCUAGAAACCGACUAUGGUAAGCUAGUAGAGAAUACGAAGGCGUAAUUGAGAUAACAAUCAUAAAGGAACUCGGCAAAUUGACUAUCGUAACUUCGGGAUAAGUAGGGCUCAUUAUUCUUGAUUAAUAUCAGGUAAAGAGGAAGAAACAUAAAAUAAUGUUGUACGACUGUUUAAUUAAAACACAGCACUUUGCUUAAAGAUUAAAAAUCUAUGUAUAAAGUGUGAUAUCUGCCCGGUGCCGGCUGGCUAACAGAGAUAAUUGAAUAUAUUACUAUUUGAUGUCAACGGAAGCCCCGGUUAAAGGCGGCCUUAACGUGAGGGUCCUAAGGUAGCGAAAUGCCUUGGCCGUUAAAUGCGGUCUUGCAUGAAUGGUGUAACGAUACAACAGCUGUCUCUAUGAUUGACUCAGUGAAAUUGGAAUAGCUGUGCAGAUACAGCUUACCUCUAGUUAGACGAGAAGACCCUAUGCAGCUUUACUGUCACUAAUUAUAGAUUUUGAUGAACAAUUUUCAGACUAAAAGGGAAUUGAUUAAAUAUUCAUGAGAAACCUUUAUUUUUUUCUUCAUUUGAAUGAAUUGAUAUACCUAUGAACGUUAGUAUAUCAUCCUAGUUCAGCCUAGUUUCUUGGUUUACUAAGAAAUAGGUACCCUUGGAGAGGAACUAUUGCUAGGGGACAGUUUAUGUGGGGCACAGACCCUGUAAAGAGUAAACAGGUGUGUCUAAUAAUUAUUUUUAUUUUGUUUGCUAUUUUUAAAUAAAUCGUAUUCACUUUGAUGUAAUUAUAACAUAAUUUUUGUAAGAAAACUAUGAUUAUAUUUAUAUUGAAAAUUUAGGUAAGAUUUUGACUAUACUGAAAUUAGAGAUAAUUUAAAAUUUUAUGUAUUUUUAACUAAAAUUUUAUAGUUAUUUAAAUUUACAUUUAAAUAAUUAUGUUUUUAAUAUCUAAAAAGCUCAACGGCUUAAUCUUGCCUUACUGUUUGAUUAUCGACAAAUCUUACAGUUGCGUAAGCAGGGCAUAGGAUCACAAGAUGCAAUAAGGAAAGAUCUUGGAUUAUUGGAAAAGCUACGCUAGGGAUGUUUGUCCCUUAAUCUUUAUUAAAAGAAUUAAUAUAAAUUGGGUAAAUUUCAAGAAUUACUGCGUAAGCUAAAGCUACGAUAGUAAACUUGAAGCGAAAUUUAUCUUAGCAUAUAUAAGAUAAAAACGUUCAACGACUAUUUGGUGAGUGUUAUGCAUAGCUUGUAUACAAGCUACAACACAAUAAUCCUUUAUUACUACCCAACAUUUUACUGUU
rnacentral:rRNA from 1 species